UACGUAGGGGGGCAAGCGUUGUCCGGAAUCAUUGGGCGUAAAGAGCGCGUAGGCGGCCCUGUAAGUCCGCUGUGAAAGUCAAGGGCUCAACCCUUGGAUGCCGGUGGAUACUGCAGGGCUAGAGUCCGGAAGAGGCGAGUGGAAUUCCUGGUGUAGCGGUGAAAUGCGCAGAUAUCAGGAGGAACACCAAUGGCGAAGGCAGCUCGCUGGGACGGUACUGACGCUGAGGCGCGAAAGCGUGGGGAGCAAACAGG
rnacentral:rRNA from 1 species